rnacentral:rRNA from 1 species
CCUACGGGGGGCAGCAGUGGGGAAUAUUGGACAAUGGGGGGAACCCUGAUCCAGCCAUGCCGCGUGUGUGAAGAAGGCCCUCGGGUUGUAAAGCACUUUCAGUGAGGAAGAACGCCUGGUGGUUAAUACCCAUCAGGAAAGACAUCACUCACAGAAGAAGCACCGGCUAACUCCGUGCCAGCAGCCGCGGUAAUACGGAGGGUGCAGCGUUAAUCGGAAUUACUGGGCGUAAAGCGCGCGUAGGUGGCUUGAUAAGCCGGUUGUGAAAGCCCCGGGCUCAAACUGGGAACGGCAUCCGGAACUGUCAAGCUAGAGUGCAGGAGAGGAAGGUAGAAUUCCCGGUGUAGCGGUGAAAUGCGUAGAGAUCGGGAGGAAUACCAGUGGCGAAGGCGGCCUUCUGGACUGACACUGACACUGAGGUGCGAAAGCGUGGGUAGCAAACAGGAUUAGAUACCCGAGUAGUC